rnacentral:rRNA from 1 species
AUGAAUGGUCUCUUUUGGAAUUGUAGAGGAGCAAGCAAAAAAGGAAUGACUACCUGCUUCUCUGACAUCAUCAAAGAUCAUUCCCUUGAUUUUAUUGGCAUCCAAGAGACUAAGAAAAAGAAUUUUUCCCCUAAAUACCUGAGAAAGGUUGACCCCUUUGAUAGAUUUAGUUUGAAUUGGAUCCCCUCCACUGGCAAAUCGGGUGGAGUGUUGUGUGGUAUCAAAAAAGAGACCUUGGAAAUUAUUUCCUGGACAACCGGCAACUAUCUACUGCAGGCCACUGCUUUUGAUGUGAAUCUUAAAAGUGUGUGGACACUUGUGGUGGUCUAUUGGGGCCGUACAUGA